UUGAUACUCCCUCCGUCCCAAAAUUCUUGUCUUAGAUGUAUUUUGAUAUGGAUGUAUCUAACACUAAAACGUGAAUAGAUACAUCCAUAUGUAGACAAAUCUAAGACAAGAAUUUUUGGACGGAGGGAGUAUAUU
rfam:Triticum aestivum genome assembly, contig: Triticum_aestivum_CS42_TGACv1_scaffold_593057_7BS